AAAUGUUUUAUGAACAAUCAGCUUUCAUUAAGAGAGUUAAGACAAGUAUAAGAGGUGGACACAUAAAACUAUGGUCCAUGUGGGGACCACAAAAAGAAUAAAGAUUACAAAAGAGCUCUUAUCAAAAAAAAAAAAAAAAAAAA